CAAUACCAGAGAGUCACUUUAUGAAGUCAGUUUUAAAACUAUUGAGUAUGGUGAAACCAAAUAAAGAAUCAAUUAAAGUUUUUGAACGAGGGAGAAAUAAUAUAAAAUAUAAAAUAGAUAGAAUCUAAGAUAGAUACUAUAAAAUAUAUACAAUAUAAAGGGACUAAACCAUCGCUUUAGAACUUCUUACUAGGCUGAUACGAGUAUCAUCCGGAAUACAUAUUAGGAAAAGGAACAAAACACUUUAUUAGAUACAUCCAGUAUCUUAAAUCCAGUAUCUUAAAAGCUCUGACAAGGAUUUUCAAAGACACAUUCGAUACACCUAUUACUAUUGUGCAUUAACUCUUAAGGUCUCAACGCUCAAGUCUCAUACUAAGAUUCAGCGAUAGAUUACCGAAGAAACCAACUGGAACUAUUAACGAUGGACCAUAUUAAUUACCUAAAAUGCAAUACGUAGAUGAAAGUCGAUACUCUGAAUUCUGUUGCACAAUAAUUUAUCAGCUAAUAAUAUUAAUGAAUUGACAAUUUCAAGCUGCAAGUUAAACUUCUUUUUCGCAACUUUGCAUUUAUAUUGAUCUUUAUGCACCUAUGGGAAAAUAGAAUGCACAUAAUAUACAAAGAUACGUAUAUACGAAUAUCCAAAGUGGAUAAAACAAUUCUGAGAUACGAUAAAAAAAUAAAUUUGCUGAAAUAUCCACUAGUUCACUAAUAACAUGUAACUUGUGAUAUCUCAUUAAUAAUAUUAACUCAAUUGUGCAAGACUUGGUACCAGUCGAGGGCCAAAGCUUUCAAGAAAAUAACAAUUUGUGGAGGUACGACACGUAAAUGCCUGUUGAAAGUAAACAUAUCGCGGACAUACGGCGGUAUGAGCACUGAAAAAGUGGAAAGAAAGUUGCCAAUGCGCCUCGCAUACCUACUGAUCCGCCGGUUGCGAACAAGUUUCGCAGUGAAUGGACCGAGCGAAUGAACUUUUCACUCACUUGCAUCCAUGGUCGGGAUUAAUCUCGACUAAUCGAAACAUCCUGAUUAACUCAGUGAUACCUGGUCGAUAAAUAAGUAUUUUCGUCGUUUCUAUCUCGAACAGAUUAUGUACUUCCAUGAACUAUUGCUUUGUCACAGUGGUGCCGACCCGUCAAUGAUACAUACGCGUUAUCGAGAUUUUAGGAUAAUUUUCGAACAUUUUACUGCGGCUUUCUAAAUCGAACGCAAUUAAUGCUUAUCGAUAUUACAAUGGCUAAUAACAUUAUUUUCAAAACAUGCUCGAUGUUUCGGCAUUCCUUGAAUUCGUCACGCAAAAGUCGCUACCUUAUAUUUGUUCGUGUGUAUUUUGUAACUGAAAAAUGAAAUUAUUCGUAAACGAUCAUAUACAAGUCACGCACAAAAAGUAGAAAUUAUGUUUGUUUUACGGAGAUCUCAUCGAUUAUCAAAUUGCGCAUAUUUAUACAAAUUCAUAUUGUUAUGAAUAUAGAUCAACAAUAGUUUUACAUACUAAAUAUUACAAAGUUAUCUCAUACAGUGGCUACGAAAAGUAUUGACUUCGAGACAUUAACUGUAUAGUUGUAUAACUAGUAUUAUUUGUAUUUGAUAUAUGUCGUAAACGCGUGAGUGGCAAAAACUACAUGAAUCCAUCCCCUUUUUUCUCAGGGUAUCGAAGGUCGUUCGAUGCAAUAUCGAUGCACGCGGAGUACGAUAAAUAUUUGCAAUUUAUGUCACGACGAUCAUAAUCAGUAUACGUAGGUAUUUCGUAGGCGUGAAUUACAGGUGAUUGCCGUGCAGUCACAGUGUACCAUAGACAUCUUCGAUGCUUUGAGCGCGUCGUUAAGGGAUUAAAAUAAUCUGGAGGUUUCAUUGGAAUUUUAUGUUCUUUUACGCAUAUUUCCGUAUAUAUUUAAUUAUUUAUAGUUACACCAAUUAUGUUUCAUCUUUAUUAUACCUUAUAAAGGAGGAGAGAAUGUAAAUUACGUAUUCGUGUUAUUAGCGGAUAAAAGAUAAGUACCGUAAAAACUUACGAAAUAACCCGUGUAAUUGCGUUUGUACAUCAACUAUCUAGCCAAUAAGAAAUUUUAGGAAUCUUUGCAAGACAUGCGAUUUAACGUGGACACAAUCUUAUUAAGAACAAUAGUAUUCAAAAUUCGAAAACAUUAUCGAUUAACGACAAACGGUGCAUUUGCUUGAGUCGAGAGAACGUCUAUCGAAAAUGUCAUGGGCGGGGAAUCUCCUUAUAAAACGGUGAAAAAAUGUUUGCUAUUCUUUCUCAUUUUUACAAUCAUUGAUCCCAUUAUUUACACCUUUUAACAAAAACAGGAUAUAUUAUUUUAUCAAAAAGAUAUAAAAAAUGUUAGUGAAAAAAAUAAGAAAGAAAUGAAGUCCCAAAACAAUGAAUCAUUGCGAUUCAUCGUUAACGCAAUGCUGAUAACGCGACAAAAAUGUUCACUACUAUUUACGAUUACAUACGAUGCAUACUUAUAUAUAUAUAUAAAGAUUAUGCACGGGGAAUCAAAAUCUUAUUAGUCUAUAAUGUUUGCAUAGUUAACAUGUUUAACGAGAAAAUCGUACGCUAUAUUUUUAUGAUGACUUCAAAGUGUCAAUUGCAUAAAAAUUUUUUCGGGGCACAAUAAUCGAGACGCAAGAUGAAUUCGUCGUCUCGUGGCUUUGCAUUGUUUACCGUACGAUUGUAUUACGUUUCGAUUUUCGAUCAAGUAAGUAUUCGAUAGAAAUAAAAUUGCAUCGAAUCUUUCCCCGUAAGUGCGUAUUACCGAGUACAUCGACCGCACAUCUUUCUCAUAAAGGAGGAAAGAUAAUAAAGUACAUCCGGUUAAAAUACAAACAUGUGUCAAUUAAUGGAAUUCGAUUGCAUGUUGUCGCGAUAGUAGGAUUUUUCUUAUUGAAGUCCGUUACCGUGACCAGGCACGAAGUAUGUAUAUAUAGAUAUAUAUGGUCGAGUGCUGAUUAUCAUCGGAGACGUAGAGCAACAGGUGUGACCACGACAGACGAUUCUUCGCGGGGAGAAAUCCACGUCGGUGUACUCGGUACAAUGACUCCACUCAAGAAAUCAUUUCCAUAAAUACCUUGACAGCAGCGUUUCACCGAGUCUGCUGAAUUCCUCUGUUCCGCAAUUUGGGAUCCGUACGGAA